GAGUUUGAUCAUGGCUCAGAUUGAACGCUGGCGGCAUGCCUUACACAUGCAAGUCGAACGGCAGCACGGGAGCUUGCUCCUGGGUGGCGAGUGGCGAACGGGUGAGUAAUGCAUCGGAACGUAUCCUGGAGUGGGGGAUAACGUAGCGAAAGUCACGCUAAUACCGCAUAUUCUGUGAGCAGGAAAGCGGGGGACCUUCGGGCCUCGCGCUCUUGGAGCGGCCGAUGUCGGAUUAGCUAGUUGGUGAGGUAAAGGCUCACCAAGGCGACGAUCCGUAGCAGGUCUGAGAGGAUGAUCUGCCACACUGGAACUGAGACACGGUCCAGACUCCUACGGGAGGCAGCAGUGGGGAAUUUUGGACAAUGGGGGCAACCCUGAUCCAGCCAUGCCGCGUGAGUG
rnacentral:rRNA from 1 species